rnacentral:lncRNA from 1 species
GAAGAUGCUACUUUCAAUAAAUAAAGAAGAUAACAGAGAAGACAAAAAUAUUAAUGUCUGGCGUUACAAGAUCAUAGGUCAAAUAUUUGAUUCAAGGGACAAUUUUCCUGUCAAAUCCACUUCAAUUUCGUGCAUAAGAAUCUUGUAUUGACAGCUAGGUUGUUCUUCGUAGCAAGGCAUGCAGUGCACUCUUGAACUAAACAGUAUGAGAAAGCUGAUGAGCAAUCAUCAUCUUUAACAAGAUGGAAUGAAGCUUGCCACAACACCUCGGUCCACCACAUGAUGAUAUGUCCUUUAUUUCCAUACCCUCAAUUUGCUUGUUCCAGAUUUGUUUUAUGUCAUCUCAGAAUUCAACAUUCUUCAGCCGUCAAUUGAUCUCCAGUAGAAUAUACACUACCAGGAAGAGAACAAUUUGGAAUCUCAACAACGACACGAACAAAACAUGAAUUGGGCCAAAGACUGUGGGAGUUUACCUUGGGAACUUUGGUCGAACACCAUCAGGUUUAUGAGAGGGGGAGGAGAAGCAUUGGCCAUGAGAUCUGACUUAGCAUUCCUCAAAGUGCUGCCGAUCGUG